AUGGAUGAAAGGAGAGUAGCAGAUUAUUUUGUUGUUGCUGGUUUACCUGGUCAUAAUGAUGACCUUAUAGGAGAAAAUGAAGUUAAUGAAGAAUUAGAAGAUUGGUGUCAAGAGGGAACACAUUUGAAAGAUAUACAUAUGCAACCACCUAUCACAGAUCUUGCUGUAAUUUUUCCAGCUUUGGGUGAACAUUGUCCUGAAGGCUAUACAUUGUUAGAAUAUACCGUAUCAGGCUUUCCAGCAGAUUUAAAUCAUGGCAGUUUACGAACAAAUGAAUGUUAUUUAUGCUAUAAGAGAGGUCGGGACAAACCACCAUUAGUUGAUAUUGGUGUAAUAUAUGAAGGGAAAGAGCGUAUAAUGCAGGAUGCACAAAUGGUACUAGAAACUCCCAAAGGACACAUAGCGAAUGUAAACAAUUCUACUUCAAAAAUUUUUGUAACAUAUAGACGGGCCAGUCAAAAGAUGCCUUGCAAUUCUCUUGUUGUUACCGAUAUAUGUGUUAUUUUGACAAACAAAGGGGAAAAUCCUCCACAUGCAUUUUGUGUCAUUAAUAAGAAUUUAAAUAAGGGAAUGUUGGGCAGUGAUGUAUUUUUAUGCUACAAGAAAUCCAUGAAUCGUGCUAACCUCAUAUCGUUCAAGCCAACAAUACUUUAUAAAUAUCCUACAACUGAUUAUAACAGUUUCGUUUUUCCAAAUUCUGUUGCCAUGUUUUGUUUACCUAUGGGUGCAACUAUAGAAUGUUGGCCAAAAAUGGCUUGCAAACCUAAGUCAUUAUUUUCAACAUUUGUCUUAACAGUCGCAGAUGCUGCACAAAAGAUAUAUGGCUCAGCAAUAACAUUUUAUGAAGAGUUUACAUUGCCACCAGAUGCUUUAAGCUGUAAAGGAAAUUUGGAUAUGAAAGAUAUUGAAGAGAAUACAAAAAAUAAUGCUGAUAGUAUUGAAUUAACGGAGGAGUUUCAUCAACCAAAAGCAAAAAUGUUCAGAAAAUAUGGAAUACUUAAGAAGCUUAAUAUAUCCCAAUGGGCAAAAUUACAAUUUACAGAUCCUAGCAGUCAGUCAUUAAAUAUCAGCAAGUCAAUAUGUAUAUUAUCACAUUGGCCAUUUUUUGAUACAUUUGAAAAAUUUCUAGUCUUUCUGCAUAGUAUGGUCAAUGGAAAACCUCAAAAUGUUUCAAUAGAAAAGUAUAUUUCUUAUUUUUUGUGUGAUAUACCUUUCCCAAGUCCCCAAAGAUCAAGAAUUCUUGUGCAACUUAGUAGUAAAGAUAUGCUAAUCCUGACUCAGCCAGAAGAUUUAGUUUGGCCUAGAUCUGGUGCCAGUUUUAGGCAAUUAUUAAUCAAUUUGGGUCCUGAUAAUUGCUUAUUGAUAUUGCUCCUAAUCUUAACAGAGCAAAAGAUAUUGGUUCAUUCAUUACGGCCUGAUGUGCUAACUUCAGUGAGUGAAGCUAUUGCAAUGAUUUUAUUUCCAUUUAAAUGGCAAUGCCCGUACAUACCACUAUGUCCAUUAGGUUUAGCCGAGGUCUUGCAUGCACCAUUACCAUUCUUAAUUGGUGUUGACUCCAGGUUUUUUGAUCUCUACGAUCCACCUUCUGAUGUUAAUUGUGUAAAUCUUGAUACAAAUAAUAUAGCAAUCUGUGAUGACAAAAAAUAUUUGAAUGUAAAAUUACUUCCUAAAAAGGCAGCUAGACAACUUAGAAAUUGUUUAGAACAUCUUUAUUCAAAAUUAAUUUCUCUUGGAAAGAUAUAUUCUUCUCAAAAAGAUCAAGAACAUGAUGAUUUCAGUGUAGAUAAAGAAUUUCAACAAAAACAAAAAGAACAAGCCUUGGAACUUGAAAUACAAGAUGCUUUUUUAAAAUUCACUGCUACUAUUUUAAAAGGCUAUCGAUCUUUCCUGUUACCAAUUACAAAGGCUCCUACUGUAGGAUCAACAGAUCCAACAAGUUUAUUUAAUAUACAAGAAUUUUUAAGAAGUCGUGAUAAGGCACAUGCAAAAUUUUAUAGUAUGCUUGUUAGAACUCAAAUGUUCAUAAGAUUCAUAGAAGAAAGAAGUUUUGUAUCUGAUAUGGAUAUGGCUGGCCUAGCUUUUUUUGAUGAGUGUACUGAACGUGUGGAGGAAGAGAAUGUCACACUUUUGGAAUUGGAUGAAUCUCAACAUAGCGAACGUACUGUAUUCAUACCUCCUCCUGAAGCAGGACCAAAUCAAGGACCUUUUAUAUAUAAAACGUUUAAAUUAAAUCCUGAAUUAAUGAGACCUGAAAAAAGUUUUAAUUUAAGGAAUCCAGCUUUAAAUGCUUUUGGAAUUGUACCUGGAAGUCCUAUGGCACGUAGGACUAAGCAUGAAAUAAAAGUAGCUCAGAAAAUGGCGCGCAAACAGGCAGCAAUGCCUGAUAGAUGGGCUAGAUGUUUACUUGGAACAUGUUACAGUCUCUGGUUUUUACAUUUACCAGCGAUGUUACAGGUUUCCGGUCAACCAGCCGCAAUUUUGCAUCAAGCAUAUGAAUUAUUAGUUCGAAUGCAAAAAUUACACCUUGAUCCUAUGGAAGAAGUUUGUUAUAGAGCUAUGAUGCAACUUUGUGGAUUAUAUGGACAACCAUUAUUAGCUGUUAAGUUAUUAUUUCAUAUGAAACGUAGUGGUGUUCAGCCAAAUGCGCUAACAUACGGAUUUUACAACAAAGCUGUCCUUGAAGCAACAUGGCCUUCUGAUAUGACAAAUUCAAGUCAGUUAAUGUGGAAUAAACUACGAAAUGUUAUCGUUGGUGCAGCUUUGUUUAAAAAGGCUGGCAGAAAAGGUGCCAGAAGAAGACUUAAUUCCAAUGUUGAUUUUUUAAAUACUGAUGGAAUAACUGAGGAAAUGGAACAUGCUCUUUCCAGAUCUAGUCUUGAUAGUAGUCACUCUCAAGAUACAGAAGCUGCUCAUAGUGACUCAACAAAAGGUAGUUCUGUGCCUGAUUUACCAGGAUAUGGAUCGUAUGAAUUGAAAGCAAAACUUCUUAGACAAAACAGUAUAGUAAAAGAUCAAGCGUUGCUGAAUAUGGUGCAAUCAGAGAAAUUAAAUCGCUCUUUUAGUAAUCCAAGAAUAGUACGCAGUACCGAAUCGCCCUUGAAGAGUCCAGUACGAACACCAGUUACUGAAAAUGAUCCAUUGGGAGCUCUAAUUAAUGAUGAAACGCCAGUUGUGUCACCUUCUGAGGAAAAUGACUCCAAUUGCUCAACUAGUACUUUAACAGUUUUAAAUAAUACUGUUGAAGAAAGACCAGGUGGACCACUUUUAUUUAGAAGUAAUUUACCACGGAGUGCAACAUUUCAUCAAGCAAUAGAUGAAUGUAGUACAACAGUAAGUGGUAAUUUACAAAGGAGCGAAACGAUGCCUCAUUCAGUAGCACCACCAGGUGAGGAGAGAGAAAAAGAGAGACUGGAAAUAAGCAGUCUUUGGUCUCAGAAGGACAGUGUGACAUCUAGUUUAUCUAGCCUAGGAUCCAGUUUAAAACUUAGUUUUGGUCCAUCAGGAUUGGCUGGAAAAAAAUCCAAUGAAAUAAUAUUGGGUGGCUUAAACAGUUUGAAAUCAGCUGCAACAAGCGUUGCCAAAAAAUUUGAUGAAAUAAAAGAAGCUAUAUCUGCAACAAGUACUCCCGUUAAACUCAAGGAACGCGAUCAAAAAUUAGGAUGUGGAGUGUCACACGAAUCAUUGGAUUCUUGUAUCGAUGGAUCCUUGCAAGAUCGAAAUGAAGUAUCUGCCAGAUUGUCUGGUGAUGGAACUUUGGAUGUAUAUUUGUUAUAUGAACUUGGAGAAAGUUUAUAUCCCAAAGGUUCUAGAGAGUUAGAAGAACGUGCUGCUAUUGAAUUUGUACUUUCAAGUGCUAGUAGAUGCCAUAAUUGUGCGGCAAUACUUUAUGAUGAAGAGAUAAUGGCAGGGUGGCAACCAGAAGAUUCUAAUUUAAACACAAUUUGUCAGUAUUGUGACAAAGCCACAGUUCCACUUCUUACGGUUACUAUAUUAGAUUACAGAUGUAAAACAAAUGAAAAAAGCAGCGAUCCUUUAAUGGGAGCUUUAGUCGAACUUUCGGAUAAACCGAGGGAGCAACUGGAGCCAAUUACAAUACCGUAUCUAAAUCCAUUGGUUUUGAGAAAAGAAUUAGAAAGUGUAUUGAGCCAGGAAGGUGAUACAUGUUUAACUAGACAUAUAUUCAUUGAAGAACAUCCAAUAGUAUAUUGGAAUUUAAUAUGGUAUUUUGAAAGAAUUAAUUUAACAAGUCAUCUCUCUGAUCUUUGGUUGCAUAAUGAUGCAAAUAAACAAUUACAAAGCAACUCUAAUUCUGUGAGUAUAAGAACAAUGUGGGAUAAUGAGAGAAUUCAUAUGGGUCGAUUGCCAAUGUAUCUGCAGUGGAAACUAAAUACUACAGAAGAUCGAACGUUGUAUAUAAGAAGCAUACCAAAGUUUUAAUGAAAACGUGACUAUUUUUAUACAAGAGCAUUAAGUUGUAUUGUUCCAAGUGUGACACACGACAUACAGAUCAAAUGUUUUUUGUAUAUUUUAUUUGAUAUUAUGAUAUUUAUCACUUUGUAGAUAUCUGUCAAGAUGUUUUGUAUGUUAGAAUAACUCUACUUAAAUACGGAAAAAUAAUUAUGCAUGAAAUUAAUAUUUGUACUGCUUAGAAAAACAUAAUUUAUGCUCUUGGUAUAUAAUCCAUACCACAUUAUGUAAACUUAAUUAUCAGAUAGGCACGUGAACUUGUGCACAUCAUUUCUUGUUAUUGUAGCAGCAUGGGCGUCUGUAGGAAUGUACCUUGAAAAUCAGUUAAAGAGAGGCUGUAUCUGCUUGGUUUAUGCAUUCAACACCUGCAGACGUCCAUGUAUCCAAACUGGGAUUCUAUACUAACUCUUUGGCGUCAGUUUAUUUGAAGGAAUAUAAAUUAUGCUAGAAUAUUUUUCUUAUGUUCGCAAAAUUGAAAUUUU